rfam:Lactococcus phage P087, complete genome.
UGACCCAUAGCUCAGUUGGUAGAGCGUCGCACUGUUAAUGCGAAUGUCGUAGGUUCAAGUCCUACUGGGUCAG